rnacentral:rRNA from 1 species
AUGUGCCGCGGCGCUGUGACCCGGCCUCACAGGCACGACCAGGGUGACAACAGCUCCCCGACACCGACGACAGCUCAAAGCUCUGUGGCUCGGCGUGCGCCGAGCGACGCGCCGCGGGGGCACCGCCGCCUCAGCUGGAAGCGUGGCCGACCACCCGUCCACGUCCCCAUCGCUACCGCCGGCCAGCCACACGACGUCACGCUCGUCCAGCUCGAAGCACGCGCCGUCGUGGACCGCCUUCGGCUGCUUCAGCAGGCCAAGAAACCAAAACGCCCCCCCACGCCCGGCGACCUCGGCAUCUCCAUCGAUCGUCUCAGCAAGCGCUACCUCGCCCGGCUCCCACAUUGCUGA